AUUGAACGCUGGCGGAAUGCUUUACACAUGCAAGUCGAACGGCAGCACGGGGCAACCUGGUGGCGAGUGGCGAACGGGUGAGUAAUACAUCGGAACGUGCCCAAUCGUGGGGGAUAACGUAGCGAAAGUUACGCUAAUACCGCAUACGAUCUACGGAUGAAAGCGGGGGAUCGCAAGACCUCGCGCGAAUGGAGCGGCCGAUGUCAGAGUAGGUAGUUGGUGGGGUAAAGGCUCACCAAGCCAACGAUCUGUAGCUGGUCUGAGAGGACGACCAGCCACACUGGGACUGAGACACGGCCCAGACUCCUACGGGAGGCAGCAGUGGGGAAUUUUGGACAAUGGGCGCAAGCCUGAUCCAGCCAUUCCGCGUGCAGGAUGAAGGCCUUCGGGUUGUAAACUGCUUUUGUACGGAACGAAACGGUUCUCUCUAAUACAAGGGGCUAAUGACGGUACCGUAAGAAUAAGCACCGGCUAACUACGUGCCAGCCGCCGCGGUAACAC
rnacentral:rRNA from 1 species